CUGUGAAAAAGGUGUGUGAGAGUUUCGUUUUCUGUUUUACAAAAAUGGCAUUUGCCAUUAUUUGAUUUGCCGAUUCUAAAUAGUUUUUGCUCCGUAUAGAUAAUGUUAUGAACAAUUUUCCAGCUAAUUUGAUUUGCUUUCCUAGAGGACAUACUUUUAUUUAAAUUUAUCCAGAUCUUUUUCCACGGUAAUUCCGAAUUAUACUGAAUAUUCCAUUUUAUUUGACAGUUUGGAACUAUAUCUAAAUUUAACGAAUAUUGGAUUAAUUUCAAAG
rnacentral:lncRNA from 1 species